rnacentral:rRNA from 1 species
UAGGGAAUCUUCCGCAAUGGGCGAAAGCCUGCCGGAGCAACGCCGCGUGAGUGAUGAAGGUCUUCGGAUCGUAAAACUCUGUUAUUAGGGAAGAACACAUGUGUAAGUAACUAUGCACGUCUUGACGGUACCUAAUCAGAAAGCCACGGCUAACUACGUGCCAGCAGCCGCGGUAAUACGUAGGUGGCAAGCGUUAUCCGGAAUUAUUGGGCGUAAAGCGCGCGUAGGCGGUUUUUUAAGUCUGAUGUGAAAGCCCACGGCUCAACCGUGGAGGGUCAGUGGAAACUGGAAAACUUGAGUGCAGAAGAGGAAAGUGGAAUUCCAUGUGUAGCGGUGAAAUGCGCAGAGAUAUGGAGGAACACCAGUGGCGAAGGCGACUUUCUGGUCUGUAACUGACGCUGAUGUGCGAAAGCGUGGGGAUCAAACAGG